rnacentral:rRNA from 1 species
CCUACGGGAGGCAGCAGUGAGGACUAUUGGUCAAUGGUCGGGCGACUGCACCAGCCACGCCGCGUGAGGGAUGAAGGUACAGAGUAUCGUAAACCUCUUUUGUCAGGGACCAAAGGCGGGGGCGUGUCCCCGGAUGAGUGUACCUGAAGAAAAAGCAUCGGCUAACUCCGUGCCAGCCGCCGCGGUCAUACGGAGGAUGCGAGCGUUCUCCGGAUUUAUUGGGUUUAAAGGGUGCGCCGGGGGUCUGUUAAGUCAGCGGGCAAAGCCCGGGGCUCAACCCCGGCCCGCCGUUGAAACUGGCAGUCUCGAGUUGGAGAGAAGUAUGCGGAAGGCGCGGUGUAGCGGUGAAAUGCAUAGAUAUCGCGCAGAACUCCGAUUGCGAAGGCAGCAUGCCGGCUCCACACUGACGCUGAGGCACGAAAGCGUGGGUAUCGAACAGGAUUAGAUACCCUAGUAGUC